UACGUAGGGGGCUAGCGUUGUCCGGAAUCAUUGGGCGUAAAGCGCGUGUAGGCGGCCCGGUAAGUCCGCUGUGAAAGUCGGGGGCUCAACCCUCGGAUGCCGGUGGAUACUGUCGGGCUCGAGUACGGAAGAGGCGAGUGGAAUUCCUGGUGUAGCGGUGAAAUGCGUAGAUAUCUGGAGGAACACCGGUGGCGAAGGCGGCAUCCUGGACCGGCAUUGACGCUGAGGAGCGAAAGCCAGGGGAGCAAACGGG
rnacentral:rRNA from 1 species